UGGAGCUCUCAGAGAUGAAUGGGAAGAUUCCAUGUGCUAAUCUCAUUUCCAAAUGUAAUUGGCACCUGAAUUACGAAGCUCUGCUUCCAAAGGCUGCACUCACAGAGCCAUCCAUCCUCUCUCCAUCGAGGUGGGCCAGCGUGCCCCUGUGAUGCAUGUUCACUGCUCCAGCAACGGAGAAGUAGUGGAGCUGGUACAACCUUUUGGAGGGCAACUUGGCACCAAAAGCAUCUGAACUGACAAACUUUCCUUGUAGUGUGAUGGAGUAAGCAGAAGGCUUGAAUCUAUGCUACUCCCUGUGUGGCCAUGGCUCUCAUUGGAUCAACCCAACCAGAAGUCAGAGGGCCAAGGAGUCCAGGUGAUACAGUUUGUAGAGUUCAGCUUCCAGGGGAACAAAGUAGAGCAGCAAGAAGCAGAAAUGAAUAAAGGAGAAGAAAUAGGUAAUGGACAGCAUAAUACCUUCAGCAUAAGCUUCUUCAGAAUGGAUGCUAAAUCUUUAAAAAAUAAUGUUGCCAUAGUGUUUUAAACAUUCGUUACAAACAUGCAAACAUCAUAGAAAAUAAAAGGCCCCUAUUAGCCCCAGAAAUACCCAUAGCUAACUACCUGUUCUGAAAUAUUUCCGAUUUUACCGUAUA